GCAGUGGUGGCACACACCUUUGAUCCCAGCACUUGGGAGACAAAGGCAGGAGGAUCCCUGUGAGUUUGAGACCAGCCUGGUCUAUAGAGUGAGUUCCUGGACUGAAUAAGAAGGCUACACAUAGAAACCCUGUCUCAAAAAAACCAAAUAAAUAAAUAAAUAAGCAAACAAACAAACAAAUAAAUAAAUAAAUAAGAGACUUUGUACCUUUUUAAGGUUUGUUUGUAUUUUGUGCGUGUGUGUGUGUGCGUGUGUGUGUGUGUGUGUGUGUGUGUGUGGUGUGUUCUGGAGAGAAGUGUUCAUUUCCUUUCCUAACUUUUCUCUUCCCCCAUCUUCUCUCCUGCUCCUGUCUCUCCCUUAAUCCUUCCCUCCCUUCCUCCUCCUCCUCCUCCCCCUCCCCCCUCUCUGCUAGAAAGACUAUUUCACAGUGUUCUCUUCCACCUUCAGUUACAUCAUUGUACCCUCUUUGAUCUGAGAGACCCGCCUUCCACAGUUGGUGUACUGUUGCUGCCAACUGAUGUGACGUCAAUUGGUUUGAUCACAUCCACCCACUACUUCCCUCCUCCAACUUUCCCCAAACCACCCCCUCACGUCUUCCUCCUUAAGUCAUAGCUCAUUCUUUUCCUUUUUAGUUCACCCACUGAGUCUGAUUGGCGCACCUCUAUGCCCACGCACUGGGAACCUACCAGAGGCCACACUCCAAAGAAUGACUCACCCUCCUUUGGCACCACCAACUACUGAUGGUCCUCAGUGAGGGUAGGGCCUCCUGAGGUGCUCGCCUGUUCCUGCGGGAGUUUUCAGUGGCUUGAUCUUAUGCAGUGAACCAUGGCCAUUCCUAACAGUGACCUGUGAAGUCUCCAAAAGGAUGAUGAAGCCCCACAGCAAUAAAUUCACCUGGAUUGUGGUAACACCAGAUAAACUAACAAACACCACCCAAAGAUCAGCUUUGGACUAUAAACUACUCAGGAAAACUUCACAACAUUUAGCCAAGAGGAUCCUACUGUGGAAUAUUAGUUGACAAUGUCCUACAUUUAUUUAUGCUGUGGAACAUUUGUUUAAUGAUGCAAAAAUGUGUUGCCUUCUUUUAUGUUGCAUUUGUUUAACUCUGUGAAGCUGUGUUACCUUGCCUGCCUAAAACACCUGAUUGGUCUAAUGAAGAGCUGAAUGGCCAAUAGCUAGGCAAGAGAAGGAUAGUUGGGGCUGGCAGGCAGAGAUAAUAAAUAGAAGGAGAAAUCUGGGAAGAAAAGAUUGAGGAACGAGAAAAGGAGAAGAAGAGGAGGACAUCAGGGGGCAGCCACCCAACUACACAGACAGCCAUGAAGUAAGAAGUAAGAAGGGACAUGGAAAAAGAUAAAGGCCCAGAGACAAGAAGUAGAUGGGAAAAUUAAAAAAAAAAAAAACUGGGUAAAAAGUAAGCCAAACUAAGACCAGAUAUUUGUAAGUAAUAAUAAGAGUCUGUGUGACUCUGGGCAGCAGGCCUCCUAAAGAGUAAAAAAACAACAAAAAACAAUCCCCCCCAAUCAUGGUCCAGUUUUAGAGACUGCUCAAGUUAGGACUUCAGAUAAAUACUGCACUUUGGACAACAGAUAGCUCUCCUAGGACUUGAUCUUUAUCUCAAUUUUUUUUCAGGAUCUCCUAAAGAUGCCGUCAUCCUCAGACAACAGGAAAUAAUUUUAAGAACAUGAUGCCCACAUUCUCAAGAGCACUGGCGGUGAGCAUGCAAUAGAGGGAGCUCUCUAUGCGCAGCAGAACUACGAAGCUCAUGAGAGGAACGAUGCCCCCUGACCGGACAAGGCCGCUGCACCCAUGAACCUGCACCCGAUUAAGUCAG